rnacentral:rRNA from 1 species
GCCACUGCUAUUGGGGUUCGGCUAAGCCAUGCGAGUGGAGGGCGUCCCGCAAGGGAUGGCCCCGCAGACGGCUCAGUAACACGUCGUCAACCCACCUUAGGGUGGGGGACAACCUCGGGGAAACUGAGGAUAAUCCCCCAUAGGCGGGGGAGGCUGGGAAUGCGCCCCCGCCGGAAGCUCAGGUGCCCUAGGACGGGACGGCGGCCUAUCAGGGUAGU